rnacentral:lncRNA from 1 species
ACCUGGAGCACUUGGAGUGCCUGGAUAAAUGAUAGGUGUAGUGGGGGUGGUAGGAGUCGGGGAGUAACCACCCCCUGGAGUGCUUGGAGUUCCGGGGUCAAUGGUAGGAGUAGGUGGUGUUUCAAUGAUUGGAGUAGUUGGGGUAGUAGGUGUAGGGGAAGGAUAGUAACCACCACCCCCUGGAGUGCUUGGAGUACCAGGGUCAACGGUAGGCGUAGGUGGUGUUUCAAUGGUAGGUGUAGAGGGGGUGGUAGGUGUAGGUGUAGGCGAAGGAUAGUAGCCACCACCACCUGGAGUGCUUGGAGUUCCGGGGUCAGCGGUAGGAGUAGGUGGUGUUUCAAUAGUAGGUGCGGAGGGAGUGGAUGGUGUACUAGGGGUACUAGGUGUAGGAGUACUUGGAGUCGGGGAAGGAUAGUAGCCACUUCCACCCCCUGGAGUACUUGGAGUGCCAGGGUCUGGAGUUGGGGUUACAACAGGUGUAGAGGGGGUGGAUGGUGUACUAG